rnacentral:rRNA from 1 species
UGAGUACAAGAUGCUACGGCAUUGAAGCAGUCUAUGUCAUACUUCCAAGAAAAGCUUGCAAUGUCAUAAACAAAUAAUGCCUGUACCAUAACCGACACAGGUGGGUAGGUAGAGUAUACUAAGGGGCGCGAGAUAACUCUCUCUAAGGAACUCGGCAAAAUGACUCCGUAACUUCGGGAGAAGGAGUACCUUAUUUUAUAAGGUUGCAAUAACAAGGUCCAAGCAACUGUUUACCAAAAACACAGGUCUCCGCUAAGUCGUAAGACGAUGUAUGGGGGCUGACGCCUGCCCAGUGCCAGAAGGUUAAAGAAGUUGGUUAGCAUUAGCGAAGCUGAUAACUGAAGCCCUGGUGAACGGCGGCCGUAACUAUAACGGUCCUAAGGUAGCGAAAUUCCUUGUCGGGUAAGUUCCGACCCGCACGAAAGGCGUAAUGAUUUGGAUACUGUCUCGGAGAGGGGCUCGGUGAAAUAGACUUGUCUGUGAAGAUGCGGACUACCUGCACCUGGACAGAAAGACCCUAUGAAGCUUUACUGUAACUUGAGAUUGAAAUUGGACUUUAUUUGCGCAGUAUAGGUGGGAGACCUCGAAAGUAUUCUUGCGGGAAUAUUGGAGUCAUCAGUGAGAUACCACUCUUAUAAUGUUAGAUUUCUAACUUUGUAUCAUUAUCUGGUCAAAGAACAGUUUCAGGCGGGCAGUUUGACUGGGGCGGUCGCCUCCCAAAUGGUAACGGAGGCGCACAAAGGCUUCCUCUGAACGUGUAGAAAUCGUAUCUAGAGUGUAAAGGCAUAAGGAAGCUUGACUGUGAGACCUACAAGUCGAGCAGGGACGAAAGUCGGUCUUAGUGAUCUGACGGUGCUGAGUGGAAAGGCCGUCACUCAACGGAUAAAAGUUACUCUAGGAUAACAGGCUGAUCUCCCCCAAGAGUUCACAUCGACGGGGAGGUUUGGCACCUCGAUGUCGGCUCAUCGCAUCCUGGGGCGGUAGUACGUCCCAAGGGUUGGGCUGUUCGCCCAUGAAAGCGGUACGCGAGCUGGGUUCAGAACGUCGUGAGACAGUUCGGUCCAUAUCCGGUGUAGGCGUUAGAAUAUUGAGAGGAGCCUUUUUUAGUACGAGAGGACCGAGAAGGACAUACCUCUGGUGUACCAGUUAUCGUGCCAACGGUAAACGCCGGGUAGCUAUGUAUGGAGAGGAUAACCGCUGAAAGCAUCUAAGUGGGAAGCCCACCUCAAGAUAAGUAUUC